UACGGAGGGAGCUAGCGUUAUUCGGAAUUACUGGGCGUAAAGCGCACGUAGGCGGCUUUGUAAGUAAGAGGUGAAAGCCUGGUGCUCAACACCAGAACUGCCUUUUUAGACUGCAUCGCUUGAAUCCAGGAGAGGUGAGUGGAAUUCCGAGUGUAGAGGUGAAAAUUCGUAGAUAUUCGGAAAGAACACCAGUGGCGAAGGCGGCUCACUGGACUGGUAUUGACGCUGAGGUGCGAAAAGCGUGGGGAGCAAACAGG
rnacentral:rRNA from 1 species